rnacentral:rRNA from 1 species
UACAGAGGUGGCAAGCGUUGUUCGGAAUUACUGGGCGUAAAGGGCGCGUAGGCGGCCAUCUAAGUCAGACGUGAAAUCCCCCGGCUUAACCUGGGAACUGCGUCUGAUACUGGACGGCUUGAGUAUGGGAGAGGGAUGUAGAAUUCCAGGUGUAGCGGUGAAAUGCGUAGAUAUCUGGAGGAAUACCGGUGGCGAAGGCGGCAUCCUGGACCAUUACUGACGCUGAGGCGCGAAAGCGUGGGGAGCGAACAGG